rnacentral:rRNA from 1 species
GACGAACGCUGGCGGCGUGCCUAAUACAUGCAAGUCGAGCGCAGGAAACUGACGGAACUCUUCGGAGGGAAGGCAGUGGAAUGAGCGGCGGACGGGUGAGUAACACGUAAGGAACCUGCCUCAAGGAUUGGGAUAACUCCGAGAAAUCGGAGCUAAUACCGGAUAGUUCAACGGACCGCAUGGUCCGCUGAUGAAAGGCGCUUCGGCGUCACCUUGAGAUGGCCUUGCGGUGCAUUAGCUAGUUGGUGGGGUAACGGCCCACCAAGGCGACGAUGCAUAGCCGACCUGAGAGGGUGAUCGGCCAAACUGGGACUGAGACACGGCCCAGACUCCUACGGGAGGCAGCAGUAGGGAAUCUUCCACAAUGGACGAAAGUCUGAUGGAGCAACGCCGCGUGAGUGAUGAAGGUUUUCGGAUCGUAAAACUCUGUUGUAAGGGAAGAACACGUACGAGAGGGAAUGCUCGUACCUUGACGGUACCUUACGAGAAAGCCACGGCUAACUACGUGCCAGCCGCCGCGGUAA